rnacentral:rRNA from 1 species
AACGAACGCUGGCGGCAUGCCUAACAUAUGCAAGUCGAACGAGACCUUCGGGUCUAGUGGCGCACGGGUGCGUAACGCGUGGGAACCUGCCCUUAGGUUCGGAAUAACUCCCCGAAAGGGGUGCUAAUACCGGAUAAUGUCUUCGGACCAAAGAUUUAUCGCCUUUGGAUGGGCCCGCGUUGGAUUAGCUAGUUGGUUGGGUAAAAGCCUACCAAGGCGACGAUCCAUAGCUGGUCUGAGAGGAUGAUCAGCCACACUGGGACUGAGACACGGCCCAGACUCCUACGGGAGGCAGCAGUGGGGAAUAUUGGACAAUGGGCGAAAGCCUGAUCCAGCAAUGCCGCGUGAGUGAUGAAGGCCUUAGGGUUGUAAAGCUCUUUUACCCGGGAUGAUAAUGACAGUACCGGGAGAAUAAGCUCCGGCUAACUCCGUG